UACGUAGGGACCAAGCGUUGUUCGGAUUUACUGGGCGUAAAGGGCGCGUAGGCGGCGUGACAAGUCACUUGUGAAAUCUCUGGGCUUAACCCAGAACGGCCAAGUGAAACUGUUGUGCUAGAGUGCAGAAGGGGCAAUCGGAAUUCUCGGUGUAGCGGUGAAAUGCGUAGAUAUCGAGAGGAACACCAGAGGUGAAGACGGGUUGCUGGGCUGACACUGACGCUGAGGCGCGAAAGCUAGGGGAGCAAACGGG
rnacentral:rRNA from 1 species